CUGAUCCCUAGUACGGCGAGUGAAGCGGGAAGAGCUCAAAUUUGAAAUCUGGCUGCCUUCGGCGGUCCGAGUUGUAAUCUAGAGAAAUGUUUUCCGUGCUGGCCCAUGUACAAGUCCCUUGGAACAGGGCGUCAUAGAGGGUGAGAAUCCCGUACUUGACAUGGACUCCCAGUGCUCUGUGAUACAUUUUCAAGAGUCGAGUUGUUUGGGAAUGCAGCUCAAAAUGGGUGGUAAAAUCCAUCUAAAGCUAAAUAUUGGCGAGAGACCGAUAGCGAACAAGUACCGUGAGGGAAAGAUGAAAAGCACUUUGGAAAGAGAGUUAAACAGUAUGUGAAAUUGUUAAAAGGGAAACGAUUGAAGUCAGUCGUGCGUUUUGGACUCAGCCGGUUCUGCCGGUGUACUUCCAAUUCGCGGGGUCAACAUCAGUUUUGCUCGGUGGAAAAGGUCUAGAGGAAGGUAGCACUCUCGGGUGAACUUAUAGCCUCUAGUCGUAUACACCGGGUGGGACUGAGGAACGCAGCAUGCCUUUUGGCCGGGGUUCGCCCACGUACAUGCUUAGGAUGUUGACAUAAUGGCUUUAAACGACCCGUCUUG
rnacentral:rRNA from 1 species